rnacentral:rRNA from 1 species
UCGUAACAAGGUUUCCGUAGGUGAACCUGCGGAAGGAUCAUUAUCGAGUGUUGGAUCGCAAGAUCUACCUCCCACCCAUUGUUUAUUGACCUGUUGCUUCGGCAGGACGUUCCUCACGGACCGUCGGCACAUUGCGGGCGAGUUCCUGCCGAAGGAUUUAAAACUCUUACCUGAAGUCUGAGAAAUAUUAAAAAAAUCAAAACUUUCAACAACGGAUCUCUUGGUUCUGGCAUCGAUGAAGAACGCAGCGAAAUGCGAUAAGUAAUGUGAAUUGCAGAAUUUAGUGAAUCAUCGAAUCUUUGAACGCACAUUGCACCUCUUGGUAAUCCUCGAGGUAUACCUGUUCGAGCGCCGUUUGUGACUAAGGCUUUGUCUUGCGUUGAGGUUCCCCGGUAGGGGUCCCUCCAAACACAUCGGCGUCCUACGUGGCAUCGAAACGCAGAGAAAUGCGGCGAGAAGUCAUGAAGGGCGGCCAAUCUACGAAAGCAUGGCCUCGGAUCAGGUAGGGAUACCCGCUGAACUUAAGCAUAUCAAUAAGCGGAGGAAAAGAAACCAACAGGGAUUGCCCUAGUAACGGCGAGUGAAGCGGCAUCAGCUCAAAUUUGAAAUCUGGCUUCGGUCCGAGUUGUAAUUUGUAGAGGAUAGUUCGGUGAUGCUUUGACCCAAGUCUCCUGGAACGGAGCGUCUUGGAGGGUGAGAGCCCCGUAUACGGUCAGUCAGCAGAGCCAUGUGAACUUCCUUCGAAGAGUCGAGUUGUUUGGGAAUGCAGCUCAAAAUUGGUGGUAAAUUCCAUCUAAAGCUAAAUAUUGGCCAGAGACCGAUAGCGCACAAGUAGAGUGAUCGAAAGAUGAAAAGCACUUUGGAAAGAGAGUGAAACAGUACGUGAAAUUGUUGAAAGGGAAGCGCUUGCAAUCAGACUUGCAUUUAGGAGUUCCGCCGGUCAUUGACCGGUUCACUCUUCUAUAUACAGGCCAGCAUCGAUUCAGACAGCUGGAUAAAGGUUUUGGGAAUGUGACUUCUCUCGGGAAGUGUUAUAGCCCGUUACACAAUACAGCUUGAUUGGAUCGAGGACCGCGUUCGCUAGGAUGCUGGCGUAAUGGUUGUAAGCGGCC